rnacentral:sRNA from 1 species
UUUAUCUUAAUGACCAGAUAAUGGUUCAUUAGCGCACGGCUCAAACCCCUGAGCCAAUCUUUGAGCCCAAACGAUUGUUUGGGCUUUUUUUU